rnacentral:rRNA from 1 species
UACGUAGGGUGCGAGCGUUAAUCGGAAUUACUGGGCGUAAAGUGUGCGCAGGCGGCCGAGCAAGUCGAGUGUGAAAGCCCCGAGCUUAACUUGGGAACUGCGCUCGAAACUACUUGGCUAGAGUGUGGCAGAGGGAGGUGGAAUUCCACGUGUAGCGGUGAAAUGCGCAGAUAUCGGGAAGAACACCCGUGGCGAAGGCGGCUCUCUGGGCCGUAACUGGACGCUGAGGAGCGAAAGCAUGGGGAGCGAACAGG